AGAGUUUGAUCCUGGCUCAGAACGAACGCUGGCGGCGCGCCUAAUACAUGCAAGUCGAGCGAGAAGACGUAGCAAUACGUUUGUAAAGCGGCGAACGGGUGAGGAAUGCAUGGGUAACCUACCCUAGAGUGGGGAAUAACUAGCCGAAAGGUUAGCUAAUACCGCAUACGAUUCCCGGACUUCGGUUCGGGAGGGAAAGCGAUACCGUGGGUAUCGCGCUCUUGGAUGGGCUCAUGUCCUAUCAGCUUGUUGGUGAGGUAAUGGCUCACCAAGGCUUCGACGGGUAGCUGGUCUGAGAGGACGAUCAGCCACACUGGCACUGCGACACGGGCCAGACUCCUACGGGAGGCAGCAGUAAGGAAUAUUGCGCAAUGGACGAAAGUCUGACGCAGCGACGCCGCGUGGGGGAUGAAGGUCUUCGGAUUGUAAACCCCUUUCGGCAGGGAAGAUGGAACGGGUAACCGUUCGGACGGUACCUGCAGAAGCAGCCACGGCUAACUUCGUGCCAGCAGCCGCGGUAAUACGAAGGUGGCAAGCGUUGUUCGGAUUCACUGGGCGUACAGGGAGCGUAGGCGGUUGGGUAAGCCCUCCGUGAAAUCUCCGGGCCUAACCCGGAAAGUGCAGAGGGGACUGCUCGGCUAGAGGAUGGGAGAGGAGCGCGGAAUUCCCGGUGUAGCGGUGAAAUGCGUAGAGAUCGGGAGGAAGGCCGGUGGCGAAGGCGGCGCUCUGGAACAUUUCUGACGCUGAGGCUCGAAAGCGUGGGGAGCAAACAGGAUUAGAUACCCUGGUAGUCCACGCCUUAAACUAUGGAUACUAAGUGUCGGCGGUUUACCGCCGGUGCCGCAGCUAACGCAUUAAGUAUCCCGCCUGGGAAGUACGGCCGCAAGGUUGAAACUCAAAGGAAUUGACGGG
rnacentral:rRNA from 1 species